UGGGGAAUCUUGCACAAUGGGGGCAACCCUGAUGCAGCGACGCCGCGUGAGCGAUGAAGCCCUUCGGGGCGUAAAGCUCUUUCGACCGGAACGAUAAUGACGGUACCGGGAGAAGAAGCUGCGGCUAACUACGUGCCAGCAGCCGCGGUAAUACGUAGGCAGCAAGCGUUGUUCGGAGUUACUGGGCAUAAAGAGUGCGUAGGCGGUUUUCUAAGUUCGGUGUGAAAUCUCCCGGCUUAACUGGGAGGGUGCGCCGAAGACUGGGAAGCUGGAGUGUGGGAAAGGCAGGCGGAAUUCCUGGUGUAGCGGUGAAAUGCGUAGAUAUCAGGAGGAACACCGGCGGUGUAGACGGCUUGCUAGACCACAACUGACGCUGAGGCACGAAAGCGUGGGUAGCAAACA
rnacentral:rRNA from 1 species